CCCCGCCGAGCCUUUCAGAGUUAAUUAGCCUUCAUGAAUAUGGAUGCCACCGCCGAUUGAAGACGGUUGAGAGGUCGUAACCUGACCUCGGCGUUUCCAUGAUGGUUUUCAUUUCCUGUAAUUUAGAGCUGGAAGCAUUUAUGGAAUAUCACAUGGUUUUCGUUUACACAGGAAAUCAGCUGCAGUUGUGAGAAGAUACUGAC
rnacentral:lncRNA from 1 species